CCCAAGAGAUCGGGAUAACACCUGGAAACAGAUGCUAAUACCGGAUAACAACAGAUGAUGCCUAUCAACUGUUUAAAAGAUGGUUCUGCUAUCACUCUUGGAUGGACCUGCGGUGCAUUAGCUAGUUGGUAGGGUAAUGGCCUACCAAGGCGAUGAUGCAUAGCCGAGUUGAGAGACUGAUCGGCCACAUUGGGACUGAGACACGGCCCAA
rnacentral:rRNA from 1 species